rnacentral:rRNA from 1 species
UUGUAAUUUGUAGAAGGUGCUUCGGGUGCGACCGCGAUCCAAGUCCCUUGGAACAGGGCGUCCCAGAGGGUGAGAAUCCCGUCUGCGGUCGAUGGUCAAACCCGUGUGAAGCCCUUUCGACGAGUCGAGUUGUUUGGGAAUGCAGCUCCAAAUGGGUGGUAAAUUUCAUCUAAAGCUAAAUAUCUGCCGAAGACCGAUAGCGCACAASUAGAGUGAUCGAAAGAUGAAAAGAACUUUGAAAAGAGAGUUAAACAGUACGUGAAAUUGUUAAAAGGGAAGCGUUUGCAACCAGACUCGUUCGCGGGUGUUCANCCGUCCCCCGGGGCGGUGCAUUCUCUCGUGAUCGGGCCAGCAUCSGUUCCGGCGGCCGGACAAAAGCUUUGGGAACGUAGCUCCUUCCGGGGAGCGUUAUAGCCCGGGGUAUAAUGCGGCCAGCCGGGACCGAGGAUCGCGCAUCCGCCAGGAUGCUGGCGUAAUGGUUGCCAGCGACCCGUCUUGAAACACGGACCAAGGAGUCGACCAACCGCGCGAGUGUUUGGGCGUUAAACCCAUGCGCGCAAUGAAAGUGACGUAGGUGGGAGCCUUCGGGUGCACCAUCGACCGAUCCUGAUGUCUUCGGAUGGAUUUGAGUACGAGCCCGGCUGGUCGGACCCGAAAGAUGGUGAACUAUGCGUGAAUAGGGUGAAGCCAGAGGAAACUCUGGUGGAGGCUCGCAGCGGUUCUGACGUGCAAAUCGAUYGUCAAAUUUGCGCAUAGGGGCGAAAGACCAAUCGAACCAUCUAGUAGCUGGUUCUCGUCGAAGUUUCCCUCAGGAUAGCAGCAGCGAAAACAGUCUCAUGAGGUAGAGCGAACGAUUAGAGGCCUGGGGGUUGAAACAACCUUCACCUAUUCUCGAACUCCGAAUAUGUGAGAAGUCCUUGUUACUUAAUUGAA